CAAAACCGCACCGGUUGUGAGCUCGAUGAGUAGGGCGGGACACGUGGUAUCCUGUCUGAAUAUGGGGGGACCAUCCUCCAAGGCUAAAUACUCCUGACUGACCGAUAGUGAACCAGUACCGUGAGGGAAAGGCGAAAAGAACCCCGGCGAGGGGAGUGAAAAAGAACCUGAAACCGUGUACGUACAAGCAGUGGGAGCCUCUUUUAUGGGGUGACUGCGUACCUUUUGUAUAAUGGGUCAGCGACUUAUAUUCUGUAGCAAGGUUAACCGGAUAGGGGAGCCGCAGGGAAACCGAGUCUUAACUGGGCGUUAAGUUGCAGGGUAUAGACCCGAAACCCGGUGAUCUAGCCAUGGGCAGGUUGAAGGUUGGGUAACACUAACUGGAGGACCGAACCGACUAAUGUUGAAAAAUUAGCGGAUGACCUGUGGCUGGGGGUGAAAGGCCAAUCAAACCGGGAGAUAGCUGGUUCUCCCCGAAAGCU
rnacentral:rRNA from 1 species